UUCACUUACACAUUUCUCAUUACAUAUCAAAACAACAUUCUUUGUUGUUAUAUUUGACAACUAUGGAUGGGAGUAGCAUGUUUUGAGUAAAUAAACCCCUCAUACUGGAUCUACAGAAACCCCUGAUACAAAAUGUUCAGAAUUCAGAAUUCCAUCCAAAUAAGUAUUUCUUACUUAAAUACUUAAAAACACAUUCCGUCUCACCUGAUUAUAUUUGAACAAAAUCAAAAAUCAACAGGUGAAUGCUGGGCGGCUAACAUGCUAAAUGGUGACAUGCUAACGGGGCGGUGAGCAGCUUUCUGCGGCUCUGACUGCGCGAGAGGCGGGAGCAGCGAGCAACAUCGAUACCUGAUGACGAGUGUGAAAGAACCACCGGAGAAGCUGAUCUGUGCAAAGUGAAUCCAGACAGCAGGCCUGCCGUUGUAGUUCACCCAGCGGCCACCGCGAGGCAGUCUAGCCACACUCUUGACCUCGGCAGACUGUUUAAUCCAGAAGGCUGUUGCAACUCAUGCUGACCAGCCGCGCCUCAAGGGUUCCCUCUCCUCCUCCUCCUGCUGCUGUCGCCUCCUUUUGAAAAGCAGGUGUGAGAGUGUGAGUGGACUGGACGGCCCUUUUGGGGGGACAGGCACUGACCCCAAACCGGGAGUCUCCUGGACCGCUCAGCCCGUUGUGAGUGCUCACGUCCUCAGACCCCCCCUCCCCUCCAAGGCUUCUUUCACAUCAAUUAGCAAGACUCCUCCUGAUCCCUGAAACGAACCGUUUGUGGAAUCCAUCUCCGGGACCACAUAAGCCAACCAUCAGCUGGGGUGGUCCACGCCGCAGGAAGAGCAGCUCUCAGUUCCCACAGGAUGCGUCUUGCAACAUUGAGCUUUGGAUCCAGACCUUCGAAAACAACCAACUAUGGAAAAAAAAAAUCAUCUCACAGAGUUCUGUUUGUCUUUGUGAAAAAUGACCUUUUAAAAAACGGUCGAUUAGCUGCGCUCGAGUAAUUGACGGCCCAUUAUUAUUUGUGUGGGUCACAAACACAAAGAAACACUUACACCUAGUAAAAAAGAACACACUCUGCUCGACAUCAAAUGCUUCUGCUAAAAUGGGGAGGAAGGGGGGUGAGAGCGUGUGAUGCGUAGGCUGUGUUUGCAACCUCUCGGGUCCCGGCUGGUCGGCGCGGGUUCACCCAGCGGUCAACGGUUCUGACGUCUCCGGGUCUUGGGUCUUUUUGAAAAAGAUCCGUGAAGCAGAAUUAAAGUGAUCUUCCUCCGGACGAGGGACCACAAGGGCUUUGGGUCUUUGGAACAGGGAGGGGGAGACAUACAGAGGGGAGGAGAAGGGGUGAGUGAGUGUGUUCCCUUGCCCUGACUAAAUGGCUCGCCUUCUGUGCGGCCCGUCCCUGGUUUGAGGGCAGCAAAGAGGAACCUGAAGCUGGCAUGUAGAAAACACACUGUAUACGCGGUGAAAUGUGUUCAGCAUGUUCUUUUUAUUAGUAUUAUAUUUCACGAUUUUCCCCUCUUAUAAACCUUGAUGAGAAAUGGAAAAAAGAACGUGAUUAGCAUGGAAAUAAUGUGCUUGAGAUGAAAGAAAAUUAAGCUUGUUGAAGUGAAUGUCUGUCAGGGAAACGGUUAUUUUGUUUUUGCCUUCAAUUCCUGGAGCCAUUGCCUCCCCUCCAGACACUUUUAUAAUGUUAGAAUAAUAAAAGUUUUUAAAGACCUGUUAUGAAACACCAUCCUGCAAACAGAUUUCCUCAGUAAUUUUCCUCAAUAUUGCUCAGAUCUCAUUGCUAUUCAUCAGCGGACGAAUUACAGGUUUACAAAUACAGCAUCUACUGUCUCC
ensembl:lncRNA